rnacentral:sRNA from 1 species
UGCCUAAACUUUGUGGUUUCCCCAUAAGGCAUGGCAAAAAAUCGGUUCAACGCAGUAAGCCCUUCAUGGUGUUACGUUGAACCGUCGUGUGCCGAAAGGUAUACGGGUGGCGCAAGCUACC